GUGGCAGCCCCCGUUCAAACUGUGUUUCGAGCUCCAACACGAGCUUCUUCCUCUCUCCCUGGCACGAGUUUCUUUUCUCUCCGUGGCUGCUACUUCUGCUUCUUCCGUCGUGGCCGUUGCCGCUGCCGCCGCUGCUUGCAUCGCACAAUCUCUCUGUCAUCCCUUGCGUCCUACGAGAUCCCCCCGCCGCCGCUCUCGUCGCAGAGCUCUCUCUGCCGACGCUCUCGUCGCAUCUGCUCCCUCUGGCGCCUCUUCCAUCUAAUCUCAACUCGCUCUCUCAGUUCUUCUUGUAACCAUCUCAAAUUUCAGUGUUACAGCUCAAGAUCUUGUUGACACUAUGCUUCUAAAUUUGCUUCUAAAUUUCUGAUAUCUUCACUCUUAACGAUGGAUCUGUAACGCCUCUACUCAAGAGCAUGACAGUGCAUAAUAUGUAUGUUGGAGAGGGUUCAGACUUCCAAUAUAAUAUAUAAAAGGGUGGCUGAGCAGUGGGGUUCUCUUGGUGACUUGACUGCGUCUGUUACAUCGAUUCGAUUCGAUUGAUACAGAAGGAAUACUCAGGAUCUGCUUGAACUGGCGAUGGAUCUGUUAGACGAGAUCAAGUUGGUCUAGCGGGUCAAAAUACUCAGCUUGUUCAUCAGGGUUCACUGAAUUAUAUUAGUUCCCAGUUGGUUGAAUCUAUUUUAAGCAAGGUUGUAGAAGAGUUCGAGCAUCAGAUUGCAAGCUGAGGAGGUGAACAGUUACAACCAAAAAUAACUUCAAGAGAUCCUGUUUCUCAAAGCAAUGGGUCUGCAUUGAAGUUUGUUAUUGGCCUAGUUGUUGGGAGUAUCAAGUUGGCCCUUGUGUAGUUAUUGAAGCCGCUGAUUAUAUUUGGUGCUCAAGUAUUUUAUUGGUGUUCAACUUGAUGGUAGCCAACAAUUGGAGCCUCUUCACAACUGCAUUGCAGAUGAUACUGCCAAAGAGGGACAAUUAUUGGU